rnacentral:rRNA from 1 species
GAUGAACGCUAGCUACAGGCUUAACACAUGCAAGUCGAGGGGCAUCAGGAAGAAAGCUUGCUUUCUUUGCUGGCGACCGGCGCACGGGUGAGUAACACGUAUCCAACCUGCCCUUUACUCGGGGAUAGCCUUUCGAAAGAAAGAUUAAUACCCGAUGGCAUAAUGAUUCCGCAUAGUUUCAUUAUUAAAGGAUUCCGGUAAAGGAUGGGGAUGCGUUCCAUUAGGUUGUUGGUGAGGUAACGGCUCACCAAGCCUUCGAUGGAUAGGGGUUCUGAGAGGAAGGUCCCCCACAUUGGAACUGAGACACGGUCCAAACUCCUACGGGAGGCAGCAGUGAGGAAUAUUGGUCAAUGGGCGCUAGCCUGAACCAGCCAAGUAGCGUGAAGGAUGAAGGCUCUAUGGGUCGUAAACUUCUUUUAUAUAAGAAUAAAGUGCAGUAUGUAUACUGUUUUGUAUGUAUUAUAUGAAUAAGGAUCGGCUAACUCCGUGCCAGCAGCCGCGGUAAUACGGAGGAUCCGAGCGUUAACCGGAUUUAUUGGGUUUAAAGGGAGCGUAGGUGGACUGGUAAGUCAGUUGUGAAAGUUUGCGGCUCAACCGUAAAAUUGCAGUUGAUACUGUCAGUCUUGAGUACAGUAGAGGUGGGCGGAAUUCGUGGUGUAGCGGUGAAAUGCUUAGAUAUCACGAAGAACUCCGAUUGCGAAGGCAGCUCACUGGACUGCAACUGACACUGAUGCUCGAAAGUGUGGGUAUCAAACAGG